rnacentral:misc_RNA from 1 species
GAUGAAGAACGUAGUGAAAUGCGAUAAGUAGUGUGAAUUGCAGAAGUACCGUGAAUCAUCGAAUCUUUGAACGCAAAUUGCACUCUCUGGUAUUCCGGGGAGUAUGCCUGUUUGAGGGUCGCUUAACAAACCAUCGAUUUCGUUGCUUUUUUUUUAAAAAGUGAUGUUUAUCGGAUUUGAGCCGUCUUUUUUUUUAUAUUUAAGUGGCUUAAAAUUGAUUUUUUUGGUACGAUCGAAGCGUAUUUUUAUGAUCAAUUUUUGGUUAAAGAAACGCACGCGUACCGUUAUUUAUAUGAUGUAAUACGUUUGACUAUUGGAUUUAGUUCAUUCGUAUACGAUAUUUUUCAAUAUUUGACCUCAAAUCAGGUAAGAACACCCGCUGAACUUAAGCAUAUCAAUAAGCGGAGGA